GCGAGGUGAUGAUUAAUGUAUCUGUCAAUCCCCUGAUGUCACAAGGUGAAGACACACAUACAUCCCGACAGGCUCUGAUCGC